rnacentral:rRNA from 1 species
GGUUAAGUCCCGCAACGAGCGCACCCUUAUCCUUGUUGCCAGCGGUCCGGCCGGGAACGUCAAAGGAGACUGCCAGUGAUAAACUGGAGGAAGGUGGGGAUGACGUCAAGUCAUCAUGGCCCUUACGACCAGGGCUACACACGUGCUACAAUGGCGCAUACAAAGAGAAGCGACCUCGCGAGAGCAAGCGGACCUCAUAAAGUGCGUCGUAGUCCGGAUUGGAGUCUGCAACUCGACUCCAUGAAGUCGGAAUCGCUAGUAAUCGUGGAUCAGAAUGUCACGGUGAAUACGUUCCCGGGCCUU